UACGUAGGUGGCAAGCGUUGUCCGGAUUUACUGGGCGUAAAGAGCGCGCAGGCGGUCGUUCAAGUCGCGUGUGAAAGCCCCCCGGCUCAACUGGGGAGGGUCACGCGAUACUGAUCGACUCGAAGGCAGGAGAGGGUAGUGGAAUUCCCGGUGUAGUGGUGAAAUGCGUAGAUAUCGGGAGGAACACCAGUGGCGAAGGCGACUACCUGGCCUGUUCUUGACGCUGAGGCGCGAAAGCGUGGGGAGCAAACAGG
rnacentral:rRNA from 1 species